ACGAACGCUGGCGGCAUGCCUAACACAUGCAAGUCGCACGAGACCUUCGGGUCUAGUGGCGCACGGGUGCGUAACGCGUGGGAACCUGCCCUUAGGUUCGGAAUAACUCCCCGAAAGGGGUGCUAAUACCGGAUAAUGUCUUCGGACCAAAGAUUUAUCGCCUUUGGAUGGGCCCGCGUUGGAUUAGCUAGUUGGUAGGGUAAAAGCCUACCAAGGCGACGAUCCAUAGCUGGUCUGAGAGGAUGAUCAGCCACACUGGGACUGAGACACGGCCCAGACUCCUACGGGAGGCAGCAGUGGGGAAUAUUGGACAAUGGGCGAAAGCCUGAUCCGGCAAUGCCGCGUGAGUGAUGAAGGCCUUAGGGUUGUAAAGCUCUUUUACCCGGGAUGAUAAUGACAGUACCGGGAGAAUAAGCUCCGGCUAACUCCGUG
rnacentral:rRNA from 1 species